rnacentral:lncRNA from 1 species
ACACCUUAUCGGUUUUUCACUCUCGGGUGCGUCGACACCUGCCUCGUUUCCGACGUCCGACGGCCUCCACUGUAACUGCGUCCGGCGGUCAGAAAGCAGGAGUUAUUUUUGAUUUUUUUUUUCACAGAUUCUUUUUCAUAUUUUUAGUAUUUAUUUGUUGAUUUGUUUGAUGAUUUCGAAUGAUUGUUUAUAGUUUAUACAUUGUUCAUUGUUGAUUUGUUAAUUUUGUUUAGGCAACCGCAGCAAUCAAUUUUAUGCAUUGUUGAUUAAUUUUGAAUGAUUUGUGCUGCUGUUUAAUACGAGAGAAUCAAUACUUCAAGUCUUCAAUAGCCUCUAAUUAAUCGGAAAAAAAAAAUUAAAAACAGG